rnacentral:rRNA from 1 species
AUGCAUGGUCUGGAAUUGCUUAAGAAUGGUGUCAUUUGGCGGGUGGGUGAUGGAUCUAGCAUUAAUAUUUGGAGGGAUAAUUGGUUACCCAGGAACACUGGACUUAAAAUUUCAGCUAAAAGGCAUAAUACUAGAUUGAAGUGGGUCUCUGAUUUGUUCUUGAGUGGGAGAAAGGCAUGGGAUGAAAAUUUGAUCAAGUAUCUUUUCUAUCCCCAUGAUGCAGAGGAGGUUCUUAAGAUUCGUAUUCAUGCUUAUGGGGAUGGAGAUUUUAUUGCGUGGCACUAUGAGAAUAACGAUAUAUUUUCCGUUAAAAGUGCGUACAAUUUAGCACUUAAGUUGAAGGAUAGCCAAGAUAAAUUGGGUCAAUCUAGUGGCUAUCCAUGCGGAGAAAGAAGACUCUGGAAUUUAAUUUGGAAGGCUAAUAUCCCUCAAAAGAUAAGGAUUUUUGCUUGGAGGGCCGCGACCGAUAGCUUGGCGGUCCAGACCAAUAGAGUUAAGCACCAUCAGAUUACUUCAAGUAUGUGCUCCAUUUGUGGAGUAGAAGAGGAAAGCACAUUUCAUGCCCUAGUUAUUUGUCCUAAGGCUCAUGCACUGUGA